UACGUAGGGGGCUAGCGUUGUCCGGAAUCAUUGGGCGUAAAGCGCGUGUAGGCGGUCCGGUAAGUCCGCUGUGAAAGUCGGGGGCUCAACCCUCGGAUGCCGGUGGAUACUGUCGGGCUCGAGUACGGAAGAGGCGAGUGGAAUUCCUGGUGUAGCGGUGAAAUGCGCAGAUAUCAGGAGGAACACCAAUUGCGAAGGCAGCUCGCUGGGACGUUACUGACGCUGAGACGCGAAAGCGUGGGGAGCAAACAGG
rnacentral:rRNA from 1 species